rnacentral:lncRNA from 1 species
UUGGUUAUCUAGCUGUAUGAGUGUUGUGGAGCCAUCAUAAAGCUAGAUAACCGAAAGUAGAAAUGACUUCCAAACCUGCUCGCCCCCGGGGAAGAGGCUGCAGCAGGACCGGCGCCGCUGGAGCCCGGAGCAGAGGCGAGUCGCGGCCCCGCCACCUCGGGGCUCCAGACAUGACUGCGAGUUCGCGGAGUGGGAUGCCUUGGGAAGGGCUGGGACGUCUCCACCUGAGCGAGGAGAGGCCCCCGGAGCAGAAUGGAGGUGUAAUUGUGCUAAGGAGUUAGCAGGGGAGAGCGCAGCUUUUGGUCACAUUCAAGUUGGAGGUCUUGAGCCAGGGAGGAGGUAUGAAAGGCUUGUAUUUGCAUAAGCAGCAUGCAUCAGUACAAAAAGAAAGAUAUCAGGGGCUUGCAAAAUUCAAUCAAGGCUGGGAGGGAAGAAAAAGGUGGUGUGGGGGGGAG